rnacentral:rRNA from 1 species
AUUGAACGCUGGCGGCAGGCCUAACACAUGCAAGUCGAGCGAGCGGCGGAUGGGUGAGUAAUGCCUGGGAAUUGCCCAGUCGAGGGGGAUAACAGUUGGAAACGACUGCUAAUACCGCAUAAGAUUGGAUUGACCAGGGUGCAUUAGCUAGUUGGUGAGGUAAUGGGUCACCAAGGCGACGAUCCCUAGCUGGUCUGAGAGGAUGAUCAGCCACACUGGGACUGGGACACGGUCCAGACUCCUACGGGAGGCAGCAGUGGGGAAUAUUGCACAAUGGGCGAAACCCUGAUACAGCCAGGCCGCGUAUGUGAAGAGGGCCUUCGGGUUGUAAAGCACUGUCAUCGAGGAGGCGUUACUCGCAGAAGAAGCACCGGCUAACUCCGUGCCUGCAGCCGCGGUAAUAC